rnacentral:rRNA from 1 species
AUUGAACGCUGGCGGCAGGCUUAACACAUGCAAGUCGAGCGGAGAGAGGUAGCUUGCUACUGAUCUUAGCGGCGGACGGGUGAGUAAUGCUUAGGAAUCUGCCUAUUAGUGGGGGACAACAUUUCGAAAGGAAUGCUAAUACCGCAUACGUCCUACGGGAGAAAGCAGGGGAUCUUCGGACCUUGCGCUAAUAGAUGAGCCUAAGUCGGAUUAGCUAGUUGGUGGGGUAAAGGCCUACCAAGGCGACGAUCUGUAGCGGGUCUGAGAGGAUGAUCCGCCACACUGGGACUGAGACCCGGCCCAGACUCCUACGGGAGGCAGCGGUGGGGAAUAUUGGACAAUGGGCGCAAGCCUGAUCCAGCCAUGCCGCGUGUGUGAAGAAGGCCUUAUGGUUGUAAAGCACUUUAAGCGAGGAGGAGGCUACUUUAGAUAAUACCUAGAGAUAGUGGACGUUACUCGCAGAAUAAGCACCGGCUAACUCUGUGCCAGCAGCCGCAGUAA